GAUGAACGCUGGCGGCGUGCCUAAUACAUGCAAGUCGAGCGAACAGAUGAGGAGCUUGCUCCUCUUACGUUAGCGGCGGACGGGUGAGUAACACGUGGAUAACCUACCUAUAAGACUGGGAUAACUUCGGGAAACCGGAGCUAAUACCGGAUAAUAUAUUGAACCGCAUGGUUCAAUAGUGAAAGACGGUUUUGCUGUCACUUAUAGAUGGAUCCGCGCCGCAUUAGCUAGUUGGUAAGGUAACGGCUUACCAAGGCAACGAUGCGUAGCCGACCUGAGAGGGUGAUCGGCCACACUGGAACUGAGACACGGUCCAGACUCCUACGGGAGGCAGCAGUAGGGAAUCUUCCGCAAUGGGCGAAAGCCUGACGGAGCAACGCCGCGUGAGUGAUGAAGGUCUUCGGAUCGUAAAACUCUGUUAUUAGGGAAGAACAAAUGUGAAAGUAACUAUGCACGUCUUGACGGUACCUAAUCAGAAAGCCACGGCUAAAUACGUG
rnacentral:rRNA from 1 species